AAUCAACGCUGGCGGCGUGCCUCAGACAUGCAAGUCGAACGAUUAAGACUCCCUUCGGGGAGUGCAUAAAGUGGCGCACGGGUGAGUAACACGUAAGUAAUCUACCUUCGAGUGGGGAAUAACGUUCGGAAACGAACGCUAAUACCGUAUAAUGCAGCGGCAUCGCAAGAUGACAGUUGUUAAAGGAGCAAUCCGCUUGAAGAGGAGAUUGCGGCAGAUUAGCUAGUUGGUAAGGUAACGGCUUACCAAGGCUACGAUCUGUAUCCGGCCUGAGAGGGCGGUCGGACACACUGACACUGAAUAACGGGUCAGACUCCUACGGGAGGCAGCAGUCGGGAAUUUUGGGCAAUGGGCGAAAGUCUGACCCAGCAACGCCGCGUGAAGGAUGAAGUAUUUCGGUAUGUAAACUUCGAAAGAAUAGGAAGAAUAAAUGACGGUACUAUUUAUAAGCUCCGGCUAACUACGUGCCAGCAGCCGCUGUAAGAC
rnacentral:rRNA from 1 species